GGUAGCAAUAUUUCGCUGAACGGAACCCGUAGACGAUAUACAUAGACUCUCCAUCCCCUACUCCCACUCAAUACGUCCCCGUCGUAUAGAACGGUAACAUGUCCCUCAAUUAUCCAAGCUCGGGUAUACGGGGAAACCCAACUCCGUUGGAUGAAUGGGUUGCAAAAAAAACAACGAA
rnacentral:ribozyme from 1 species